GGAGGGGUGUCCGAGCGGUUGAAGGAGCCGGUCUUGAAAACCGGUAGGCCGAAAGGUCUCGCGAGUUCGAAUCUCGCCCCCUCCG
rnacentral:tRNA from 1 species